rnacentral:tRNA from 1 species
CUUGAGUUAGGUUAAGUUAAAACCGGGGACCUGUGGAGUCCCAGACCGUUUAGAAAACGACUUAUGU